CGGGAAAAGCUCAAAUUUAAAAUCUGGCAGUCUUUGGCUGUCCGAGUUGUAAUUUAGAGAAGCGAUUAUCACGUUUUCGUUCGGGUUCAAGUUCCUUGGAAUAGGACAUCAGAGAGGGUGAGAAUCCCGU
rnacentral:rRNA from 1 species